rnacentral:rRNA from 1 species
GAUGAACGCUGGCGGCGUGCCUAAUACAUGCAAGUCGAGCGGUAAGGCCCUUCGGGGUACACGAGCGGCGGACGGGUGAGUAACGCGUAAGAAUCUACCCCAAACUGAGGGAUAAGCACCAGAAAUGGUGUCUAAUACCGCAUGUGCUCUACGGAGUAAAGCUACGGCGGUUUGGGAAGAGCUUGCGUAUGGUUAGCUAGUUGGUAAGGUAAUGGCUUACCAAGGCGACGAUCAUUAGCUGGUCUGAGAGGAUGAUCAGCCACACUGGGACUGAGACACGGCCCAGACUCCUACGGGAGGCAGCAGUAGGGAAUUUUCCACAAUGGGGGCAACCCUAAUGGAGCAACGCCGCGUGCAGGAUGAAGGCCUUCGGGUUGUAAACUGCUUUUGUCUGUGACGAAUAUGACGGUAGCAGACGAAUAAGGAUCGGCUAACUACGUGCCAGCAGCCGCGGUAA